GAGUUUGAUCGUGGCUCAGGAUGAACGCUGGCGGCGUGCCUAAUACAUGCAAGUCAAGCGAACGGACGAGAAGCUUGCUUCUCUGAUGUUAGCGGCGGACGGGUGAGUAACACGUGGAUAACCUACCUAUAAGACUGGGAUAACUUCGGGAAACCGGAGCUAAUACCGGAUGAUAUUUUGAACCGCAUGGUUCAAAAGUGAAAGACGGUCUUGCUGUCACUUAUAGAUGGAUCCGCGCUGCAUUAGCUAGUUGGUAAGGUAACGGCUUGCCAAGGCAACGAUGCAUAGCCGACCUGAGAGGGUGAUCGGCCACACUGGAACUGAGACACGGUCCAGACUCCUACGGGAGGCAGCAGUAGGGAAUCUUCCGCAAUGGGCGAAAGCCUGACGGAGCAACGCCGCGUGAGUGAUGAAGGUCUUCGGAUCGUAAAACUCUGUUAUUAGGGAAGAACAUAUGUGUAAGUAACUGUGCACAUCUUGACGGUACCUAAUCAGAAAGCCACGGCU
rnacentral:rRNA from 1 species